AUUGAACGCUGGCGGCAUGCUUUACACAUGCAAGUCGGACGGCAGCACAGAGAAGCUUGCUUCUUGGGUGGCGAGUGGCGAACGGGUGAGUAACAUAUCGGAACGUACCGAGCAGUGGGGGAUAACUAAUCGAAAGAUUAGCUAAUACCGCAUAUAUUCUGAGGAAGAAAGCAGGGGACCAUUUGGCCUUGCGCUGUUUGAGCGGCCGAUAUCUGAUUAGCUAGUUGGUGGGGUAAAGGCCUACCAAGGCGACGAUCAGUAGCGGGUCUGAGAGGAUGAUCCGCCACACUGGGACUGAGACACGGCCCAGACUCCUACGGGAGGCAGCAGUGGGGAAUUUUGGACAAUGGGCGCAAGCCUGAUCCAGCCAUGCCGCGUGUCUGAAGAAGGCCUUCGGGUUGUAAAGGACUUUUGUCAGGGAAGAAAAGGGCGGGGUUAAUACCCCUGUCUGA
rnacentral:rRNA from 1 species